rnacentral:rRNA from 1 species
UGGGGAAUAUUGCACAAUGGGCGCAAGCCUGAUGCAGCCAUGCCGCGUGUGUGAAGAAGGCCUUCGGGUUAUAAAGCACUUUCAGCGGGGAGGAAGGCGAUAAGGUUAAUAACCUUGUCGAUUGACGUUACCCGCAGAAGAAGCACCGGCUAACUCCGUGCCAGCAGCCGCGGUAAUACGGAGGGUGCAAGCGUUAAUCGGAAUUACUGGGCGUAAAGCGCACGCAGGCGGUCUGUCAAGUCGGAUGUGAAAUCCCCGGGCUCAACCUGGGAACUGCAUUCGAAACUGGCAGGCUAGAGUCUUGUAGAGGGGGGUAGAAUUCCAGGUGUAGCGGUGAAAUGCGUAGAGAUCUGGAGGAAUACCGGUGGCGAAGGCGGCCCCCUGGACAAAGACUGACGCUCAGGUGCGAAAGCGUGGGGAGCAAACAGG